UACGUAGGGUGCGAGCGUUGUCCGGAGUUAUUGGGCGUAAAGAGCUCGUAGGCGGCUGAUCGCGUCGGUUGUGAAAGCUCAGGGCUCAACCCUGAGACGCCGAUCGAUACGGAUCGGCUAGAGGUAGGUAGGGGAAAGUGGAAUUCCUGGUGUAGCGGUGAAAUGCGCAGAUAUCAGGAGGAACACCGGUGGCGAAGGCGGCUUUCUGGGCCUUACCUGACGCUGAGGAGCGAAAGCUGGGGGAGCAAACAGG
rnacentral:rRNA from 1 species